ACCGGCGGCUAACGCGACACUUUCCACGGCAUACCCACGCUGCCUUUAUGAACAUACACAUGUAUUUAUAAACACCGUCAUAUUCCGUUUGGUCAGUACACCCACGACUUUUCUGGUAUCUUAGGGGCAUUUUAAACUCCCAGCAACACAAGGGGGCUCAAUUCUUAAGGCUGGAAAACGAAAGUAUGUUGCAGAACAAGAGAAGGCGUCAGAAAGCAAAACAACAACAUUGUGACUUAUGGAGCUGAACUCUAAUGGUUAAGAAGACUCCGUAAUGAUUGGGAAAGUUUGGACACUGAUCAUUGUAAUAUCAUUCAUCACAUUUAUUCAUCAUAUCCAAUCUGAAUGUAUGGAACACGAUAUUGAGGAACACCUGAUUAACGAGUUGAUGGAAGACCAUGUGUUUGAGAUUAAGGUAUUCCCUUCUGAGACAAAGGAAUCCAAGCUUCUAACAGUCAUAAACACUCUAUGUUCAUACGUGACCAAAAAUAACAGCACAACAAAAUUCAGAGUAUUGUUAACAUUUCAAAUCAUGCUAAAGAACCUAGACAAAAACAUCAACUUAUGUGCUACACACACCUGCAUGGAUGCUUUCUCAGUAAGAUAUGUUAAUAAAAGGACAUUCCGUGACUAUGUAUCUA